AAUCAACCACUGGAAUAAUCUCCUCAGGAAGUGGUGGAUUCCUCAACACUGAACACUUUUAAGAUUCAACUGGACAGGGUGCUGAGCCAUCUUGCACAGAUUGUGCUUUUGCCAAGAAGGAUUGGACCAGGAGAAAGAACUGUUCCAGGAAAGAAAGAGUAGGUUUGGGGCUUCUCCUGUUUGGCAUUUCUACCUGUAUCAAGCACUACAGAAGGCACUAGGAUCCAGCAUCAGCAUCGCAGUUAAAGCAAGACAAUGAAGGUCAUGCAAGACUUGACUGAGCAAUGGAACAAAUCAGCAAUCCCUGCUUUGCAAUGGCAAAGCAAACACAGGAUUGAAAUAAAGUUGCAGAACAGUUAAAUAGA